UGGAUGUAACGCGUCUUCUGAUUGGCUGACGUUAUUUUGCUAUCAGGCCAUAUACAUAAUUAAGUCAUGUGACCGUGACGUCAUCAACGUUUUUUCAUGGUAUUCUACGGUUUGAAAUGGAAUUUAGAAUUAAAUUAUAAGAAAUGACUGUAAUAUUUUUUCUAUCUAUUCGAAAUAACAUAAAAAAUGUGGUGCACACUGUUAAAUAACCCGCUACGCGCAUUAUUCAGUGUGCACCAAUUUUUUUUAUGUUAUUUCUUCAUAGACAGAAAAAAUAUUACAGUCAUUCCUUAAAUGCAUUUUGUUAUAUGAUAAACAAUAGAAAGAUAAAAAAAAUUUCAUAUUUAUUUAUCCAUCUACUGCUGGUGGAGAUUUAUUUCCCCGAGGGUAUCACAAACCCAGUAGUCAGCACUUUUUGUGCUGACAU
rnacentral:lncRNA from 1 species